rnacentral:rRNA from 1 species
UACGUAGGGUGCGAGCGUUGUCCGGAAUUAUUGGGCGUAAAGGGCUCGUAGGCGGUUUGUCGCGUCGGGAGUGAAAACACCGGGCUUAACUCGGUGCUUGCUUUCGAUACGGGCAGACUAGAGGUAUGCAGGGGAGAACGGAAUUCCUGGUGUAGCGGUGAAAUGCGCAGAUAUCAGGAGGAACACCGGUGGCGAAGGCGGAUCUCUGGGCCAUUACUGACGCUGAGGAGCGAAAGCGUGGGGAGCGAACAGG